UACAGAGGGGGCAAGCGUUGUUCGGAAUUACUGGGCGUAAAGGGCGCGUAGGCGGCCUUCUAAGUCGAACGUGAAAUCCCUGGGCUCAACCCAGGAACUGCGUCCGAUACUGGAAGGCUUGAAUCCGGGAGAGGGAUGCGGAAUUCCAGGUGUAGCGGUGAAAUGCGUAGAUAUCUGGAGGAAUACCAGUGGCGAAGGCGCUGGGCUGGACGGCGAUUGACGCUGAGGUGCGAAAGCGUGGGGAGCAAACAGG
rnacentral:rRNA from 1 species